UACGUAGGGUGCAAGCGUUAAUCGGAAUUACUGGGCGUAAAGCGUGCGCAGGCGGUCUGUUAAGACCGAUGUGAAAUCCCCGGGCUUAACCUGGGAACUGCAUUGGUGACUGGCAGGCUUUGAGUGUGGCAGAGGGAGGUAGAAUUCCACGUGUAGCAGUGAAAUGCGUAGAGAUGUGGAGGAACACCGAUGGCGAAGGCAGCCCCCUGGGCCAACACUGACGCUCAGGCACGAAAGCGUGGGGAGCAAACAGG
rnacentral:rRNA from 1 species